rnacentral:rRNA from 1 species
AGAGAUGUGUGAUGACGCAUAUCAAUAAGCGGAGGAAAAGAAACUAACUAGGAUUCCCUUAGUAACGGCGAGUGAAGCGGGAAGAGCUCAAAUUUGAAAUCUUCAAGGUUCUACCUUGACGAAUUGUAGUUUAUAGAAGUGUUUUCUGUUAGUAGAGUUGGCUAAAAGUUCUUUGGAAUAGGACAUCAUAGAGGGUGAGAAUCCCGUAUUUGGUCAUUCCUUCCAACUUUGUGAUACACUUUCAAAGAGUCGGAUUGUUUGGGAAUGCAGUCCAAAAUGGGUGGUAAAUUUCAUCUAAAGCUAAAUAUUGGCGAGAGACCGAUAGCGAACAAGUACCGUGAGGGAAAGAUGAAAAGAACUUUGAAAAGAGAGUUAAACAGUACGUGAAAUUGUCAAAAGGGAAGCGUUUGACACCAGUGUUGUUUUCUCGAAAAUCAAUUAAAAAUGGCAGGAUUUUGUGUUGUAUUGACUUUAUCAGCUUUCUGCACUUUUUUCAUGUCUUUUUUAAUGCACUUUUCGUUUAACAAGUCAACAUCAAUUUCUUUUGUUGUAAAAGAGGUCAUUGGAAGGUGGCUUUCUACUUCGGAUGAAAGUGUCUAUAGCCUUUGUACUUCUGCAAUCGGAGAGAUUGAGGUCUGCAGCGUAGAUCCUUCGGGGUUAGAUACAUUUGUGCUAAGUUAUAGUUUUUCAUAGACAACAUGUUGACUAUGAUUAAGUCAUGUAGCUUACUCGCUUACGCUAUUUUACCUACGCUUAGGAUGUUGAGUCGUAGAGCACGCAG